CCCGACAAUGCCCUAUGCUAGCAAUGUUUACUCGCCUCGAUGUUCCUCCGUCUGCAAAUUAAGCACGGAUCCAAUGUUAAUGCCAAUUUCCUAGGUUAAUCACCGGUCGUCGUCGUUAGUAGUGUUUCUACUGCUACUAGUAAAUCCAUAAGCAAACCUGACAAGAAAACGUGGCAUGUGCGUCUCUAGUGACACAUUCCUGAUGGGUACCGCUUGCAAGUCCAGAAAAGGGUUGGAUGUCGAUUACACACAUUUAACAGCACAUUGCAGGGCUCUACUGUGCUGUCGCACUAAGCUCCCAGCUUUAGUUGCAAUGAUUCCUACCACUUAGUAGUUAGUACAGCCCCAAACAUCUUUGUGUCCACCGCUGUUUCUGUAGUAGGAGUAGGUGAUAUCACGUGGCUAUCUUUUUCUCACCGGGAAUUUUAUGCCUUUCUGAGACAAUGGUGCUCGUACUACUUGCUGGGCCAGAAAACAUAUGACAACACAAAGGAAGUCAAGAGCACUCAGCACAGACAUUCCUAAUUGCCCUUUCCUGAAUGAACUUGUGCCAUAUACAGAGUUUAUGGGUAAGAAGGUUGCAUGCUGGAAUGGACGAACGCGCAGGGACUUGGCUGAAACCUGGGCAUAAAAAAACUCCCAAAUGGUACAAAAAAGAUGCGCUAGGCGUUCAGGCUAAGGACUAAUCGGCACUGUUAUUCCCCAGAAGAGCAUCAGAGGUCACGUGCAGCCGCAGAACCAUUUCAGACUAAGGGGCUGUUUGGUUCUAGGCCUAGCAUUGUCACACUUUGCCACAUAUUUUGGCCAAGCUUACCUAAGGUUAGUUCAUCAAAAUGAAAGCCACAAGUUGGCAUCUUGGCAUCCAAGGUGAGAACGGAUAAACCAUGGCUAAUUUGAUGGUAGUGGCAGAGAUGUAAUGCAGCUAAUUAUAUAUAGGCGCCACUUAGGCUAAUGACGACGCCUCGGCCACCUCUCUCUCCCCUUGUUGACCGUAUGAUACCGCCGCACAUGCAGGGGGGAGGAUUCUAAUGGUACGCCGCGCCAACGUCAAAUCGCGUCGGAUUAAGGUAUUUGGUUAUCUGCAAUUGGGCCGCAGGGAAUAGAUUCUGACGAACCAAAUACGUCCGUCCACCAGCAAUGCCGAUGGUACUACCACUAAAGGUAUACUAAUGCUACCACCGUCCGUAUAUUCUGUAAUUGUCAGAUUCGAUGGGUGGUAUUCUUUCUUCCUGGCGCGUCGAUUGCUGUUGGUGGUAGAAUCUUACGGCAUGCGUGGUGCAAGAAACCUUAAUCUUACAGCGGUGAUAACAUAAACUUCUGGGCGAGGAGGACUCAACAGUGGGUCGGUGAUAAUCAUAUCGUUGGUGAGAUGCAGGGAUGUACUGGUACGAAUUUUCCACUUGUCGUAGACGUGUAGCUGAAGGUGAGUGCGUAGGUGCCACACGCACACACACACGCCGAAUGCGACUAAUGACGGAAAUUAUCUGUCGCUAUUGGCUUUGACUAAUCGAACAGGGACUAGUCAUGGUUGCGUUAUUGCCGGGUGCAGUGCGAUAUCCAUCUUAGAGCAUCUUCAACAGUCGCCCCAAACGACGCGCGCGGGAAGCGUUUGCGCGCGCGCGCGAAAAGGCCAGCUCACGCGCAAGAUUUGGCGCGCCGCUUCGCGCGCGCCUAUAAAAGCUGCGCGUGCCACGCGCCUUCUCCACACACAUCUCUUCCCCUCUCCCUCUCCCUUUCUGCCACGCGCCGCUCCAGCGCUUCGCCACCGCCGCGCCGCCAUGCCGCUGCGCCGCCGAGGAGCGUCCGGCCACCGCGGCGUCCGCCUGCGGCCCAACGGCAGCUACACCACGGAGAUACGCUCCGGCGAACUCCGGCUCGCCCUCGGCACGUACGGGACGGCGCAACAGGCUGCCCGCGCGUACGACGCGGCGGCGUGGCGCCUAGGCCGGCCGCGCGGCCAGAUGAACUUCCAAGAUGUGUACACCCUCGAGCAAGCGCUCAACCUCGCCCCUCUGCCUCGUCUGAACACGGAGGAAGACCGUGCGGAGCACGCCGAGCGGCAACGCCGCCUCCUCGUCGCCCAGGAGGACGAGAGGGUCAUGGCGGACUGGCGCCAGCGCCACCCGGAGGACGUCGCCUACGAGCAAGCCUACUGGGCAAGGCGCCGCGAGGAAGACACGCAAAGGUGCCGCGCGUCGCGGUUGGACAAGCGUCGGCGGAAGGCGUUGGCGAAUGCGCAGUCCGACCUCGUUGCAGCAGGUGGGCGGUCGUUCUUCACGCCGAACGAUGAGCGGUGGCUGGACAUCUGGCUAUCUACCUCGGACGACACCGCCGAGGAUGAUAGUGGUGAUGAUGAUAGCGACUUAGAGUAGUUUUUUUUUGUUAAUGCAAUUUAUGUUUAUCGUUUGUCGUUUUUAUUUUAUGCAAUCUAUGUUUCGGAUGUAAAAUACCUUUGUAUCGUUUAAUCUAUGCAAUCUAUCUAGUUUUUUAAAAAAAUUCAACUUUUAAAAAUGCAUACAUUUUUAGUCGCACGCGUUGCAUUUUAGCGCGCUGCAUUUCAGCGCGGCUGCUGGAGCCAGCGCAGCGCUGCAUUUUAGCGCGCUGCAUUUCAACAGGUUUUUUGCGCGCGGCGCUUUAGCGCAGCUGUUGGAGAUGCUCUUAGGGCAACAACGGAAAGGAGACGCAAAACUGGAAUUGUGGGAGGAAAGUGCGAAGAAGUAUUUGGUACCUCUAGCAGCACUUUGAGAAAUUUACUGUGUAGUGGCGCCAGUGUACUGCACCCUGCAACUACAAGCAAGGCUGCAACGGCUUUCGCUUACAAAUAGUCACGGGUACACCGCUGCCGCCCGUUAACCAUGGCUUCACGCUUUCACUGUUCAAGUAUUCCUACUCCUGCCUCGACACACAAAAGUACUUCUACUCCACAACCCUAUACGUAUGGUAGUGGAGUACGUGCUAGUCCAUGCACAGUAACUCUACCGACAGUACAGUUCACGUGUCCGACCCUCAGGUAAAUCUCUCAUGAUGAUGGUAAGUGAGUGGUAACAUCACAUCACCUGGCACGGCUGGCAGGUGGGCCGCGGCCGGUGGCGCCGCGGCUGGCAGGUGGGCCACGCAUGAACAGCGGUAGUAGUGUACAGUAGAGCCGCUGAAGUCAACAACAGCGUAGCUAAUACUCGUACUGGACAAGUACUUAGCUCACGCUCUACGGCAGGAGACAAAGGUCGGUGUGCGCCGUGGUCCACCGGCCCGGCCCGUGUGCGUGGCCGUAGACGUGGUGGACAGUGCGCAGAAUGCAAGGACCAAUCGUGCACUCACAAAAGAAAAGGUCUAUCUCACGCCCUAGCACCCAUUUACGAGCGCAUUCAAAGCGCGCUAAAUUACGACGCGACGGGGUUGAACGCUGCGUUCCUGAUGGACGGCUGGUGAUUUUUUGGCGCGGUCUGUCUCGUCCGCCGAGAGUUUUGCUCCGGUGGGCAAUGGCGUGCGUGUGGUUGAUUUGUCACGGGGACUUUUGCGGUACUACGAGCUUAGGAACGUCGCUAUCCUCUUCGUACUUCAGAAAUCAACCACGUGUUUUUGCCAGAAAAAAUUAACAUGGGGCGCGUCAGCAAACACACUUGUAGGACUAGUACUAGUAAACUAGUGGGGAGGAAAACUACAAGGAGCGCUGCGCUGUUUUUGGUUUUUCCUUGGCCCAAAGGCCAAAUUUCUUCCCCCUCGCACAAAAAAUUUCAAACAAAGAAGAUGACCUCGCAUAUCAUGCCAGGACAAAACAAAAAACAAUUGAUAAGCACCUGACGAAUUCGAGACUGGGAAACCUAUGUUAAGUUUUUCGAGACCAAAAUGAUCUUUGCUACUACUCCUAGAAGAAACGGCAGCGGAGGAACCACGCGAUUGAUUGAAUCGUAGAGGAAGGGAAGAGAACUCACCAGAUGACGAUGAAGCAAGCGGGCGACGGAGGCGCAGAUUAUCUCCCGUUGGUGAGAAAAGAGGAACCAAUCUUGCGAACCACUCGCCCCUCCCCGCACGCCGCACCCCUUCUUCCUCCCCGGUUCCCUCGGUCUCUUGUCUCGGACUCAAACAAGGGGCUGGCAGUCAGGAAACUCGUGAAGUCGUGGUCGGCGCAGGCAAGCUCGUGCUCGUGCUCGUCCCCCACGACACCGACCUGUCGCCGCCUCGUCUCGUCCGGGGCAGAGGCCACGGGAUGGAGGGGCACGGGCGGCACCGGGCAGGGAGACGACGACGCGCUAUUGUGUUGGGAUUGGGAGGCGACGAUAAGAGAAAAACUGGAGUGGUAGGAUUUCCUUCCAAACCCCGUCAUUGAUCACCUGGGGCGUAUUUAUUCGGAUUCAAUGCGCG
rnacentral:lncRNA from 1 species